UACGUAGGUGGCGAGCGUUAUCCGGAAUUACUGGGCGUAAAGCGCACGCAGGCGGUCAAUUAAGUCAGAUGUGAAAUCCCCGGGCUUAACCUGGGAAUAGCAUUUCAGACUGGGAGUCUAGAGUACUUUAGGGAGGGGUAGAAUUCCACGUGUAGCGGUGAAAUGCGUAGAGAUGUGGAGGAAUACCGAAGGCGAAGGCAGCCCCUUGGGAAUGUACUGACGCUCAUGUGCGAAAGCGUGGGGAGCAAACAGG
rnacentral:rRNA from 1 species